rnacentral:rRNA from 1 species
AACGAACGCUGGCGGCAGGCUUAACACAUGCAAGUCGAACGGUUGUAGCAAUACAGCAGUGGCGCACGGGUGAGUAACGCGUGGAUAUCUGCCUUUUGGUUCGGAAUAACUCCGGGAAACUGGAGCUAAUACCGGAUGGUUCCUACGGGAUAAAGAUUUAUCGCCAAAAGAUGAGUCCGCGUACGAUUAGCUAGUUGGUGAGGUAAUGGCUCACCAAGGCGACGAUCGUUAGCUGGUCUGAGGGGACGAUCAGCCACACUGGGACUGAGACACGGCCCAGACUCCUACGGGAGGCAGCAGUGGGGAAUAUUGGACAAUGGGGGCAACCCUGAUCCAGCCAUGCCGCGUGAGUGAUGAAGGCCUCGGGUUGUAAGCUCUUUGGUCGGGGACGGAGUGAUGACGGUA